UGUGUGGUGAGGGGUGGCGGGGGAGCCCCGUGCGCCCACCUGCCCUGCGGCCGGGCCCGCCGUCGGGCGCUUCCUGACCCGCCUGCCAUGGGUGCGCUUGUUGCUUUCGCAGAUGAAAGAAACCAUGAUGAACCAAGAAAAGCUCGCCAAGCUGCAGGCCCAAGUACGCAUCGGUGGCAAGGGUACUGCCCGCAGAAAGAAGAAGGUUGUCCACAGAACUGCUACAGCAGAUGACAAGAAGCUUCAGUUUUCAUUGAAGAAACUAGGAGUCAACAAUAUUUCUGGAAUUGAAGAGGUAAACAUGUUUACCAACCAAGGAACAGUCAUUCACUUCAAUAACCCUAAAGUUCAGGCAUCUCUGGCUGCUAACACUUUCACUGUCACUGGCCAUGCUGAGACAAAGCAGCUGACAGAAAUGCUUCCUAGCAUCUUAAACCAGCUCGGAGCUGACAGUCUGACCAGCCUGAGGAGAUUGGCAGAAGCCCUCCCCAAGCAACCUGUGGAUGGAAAAGCACCACUUGCUACUGGUGAAGAUGAUGAUGAUGAAGUUCCAGAUCUUGUUGAAAACUUUGAUGAAGCUUCAAAGAAUGAAGCAAACUGAACUAAGUGUCACUUUCUGAAUAAAGUUAAAACUUGAAGAAGCUACGUGGAGCUGCUAUUCUACAUUUUCGACUGCUUUGAUUUAUUCUUAUUUCCUGAUGAGAUCUCAAGACCUGUGAUACUUGGAAACUCCUUGAACCUGCAGCUCUUUAGUUACUGCUUGUACACAAUAUUAUUUUUGUGGCCUGAUUGAAAAAAACUAUGCUUUGAAAUAAAAAAAAAGAGACCUUGUUUUUUGGGCACAAGGAAGAAUUUUUAAGUUCCAGACCUUUGCAUAGCUGGAGCUUCCAGGGGUGAGGGCUAAACUUCAUCUUUGGAAGUCUUUGGUGUUAACGAUGGAUCAGAUAGCUUGCACAACAGAAGCAAAGCUAGGCUAGAAGAGCACUCAACUAUCAGCCUUCUAAGGUUGUCUCUAGAGCAAAUACUUCUGGAAGUGGAAAUUCAUCAUGACUUGUGCAGGAUAAAAUUCAGAGUAAAACUUUGCUAUCGCCAUAACAAAUUUCUCCUUGUGUCUGGGAAAAGGUGGGGCAUUGUCUGACUUGCCAAGCAUGUUUGUCAUGGUGUAAGUUAUUGCUGUUGGGAAGCAGUGGAGGAACUCGUUCAAGCUGUGCAACGCCUGUGGUUUGAGGUAAGACAGCAGUCUGAUGUGAUCAUGACAUGGCUGAAGUCAGGUGCAAGAACUGACAGUAACAAUUUCAGUUUACUUGUCUCAGUUUGCAAGUACUUUAUUAGUAAAUUACACUUUUAGCAUUGAAUUAAUUGAAGUGCAUUCAUUAAAUUGUGGCAAUAAGGCAGAAAAACUGAACUAUGCCGAUUUGAGUUUGGAAGCGAGGAUGGUCACUUUAAGCUAACGGCCCUGUAAAAGGUAAAAACCAAAUUCUACACAGUUGUUUACCCCACAUCCUAUGACCUGUCAAGUCAAUAAAUGCAUGCUGAUUUUUCUGAGAAAUAAUGUCUCACCCAUCCUGUGGUUCAAAUGUGUAAGUCCUCAGAAAUAACUUCCUUGAAGCCACUGUAGCCCUUGCUUAUGAGAUGUUUCAUACUGCUUUCUGUGUCAUGAAAUGACUUAGUGUCUUGCUUAGAUGAU